AAUCGAAGCAACUCAUCUAGAGAGGAUACUUCCUCAAUUACUUUUAGAUUUUUAAGCUACUUGAACGAGAUAUGAAAUUAUAAAGUUAUGUCAGUAGAGUGCAAAAAUGGGGUUUAUUUUUUUAAAAAUAGGAAUGCAACUUUCUCUCUAAACAUGCAAGAUGUUGGAUGAUUUCUUUUACAGCUGUUGAACUAACUUGAAAAU
rnacentral:misc_RNA from 1 species